CAUAGUAUGUACAGGCUGAGAGAGGAAGUGUAAUGUUCGAACUUGGACAUUUUCAGUACAAAGAAGUUGAACAGCACUGAUGUCUGCAGGAAUAUGACCAUUAUAUUAGUGAGAAAGAUAUACUUCUAUAGUUGUCUAUAUUGGAGUGUGAGAUUGGUAUCAAUCAUCAGCUUUUUUCUUUAUAUUGAUGGUUAACUUCAGCUGGUUGGUUAGUCUACACACCUUUGGGAUCGGGUGCUGCUUCAUACUGGUGUUUUGGUAUUCCACUAUAGGACAAUACAUCCCCAAACUCCCCCCUACAUGGUUUCCCUUCACAUACGUUGAGGGAGUUUACUGGCUAUUUCAUUAAAAAAAAAAGUGAUGUGGACACAGGGAGUCGGGCCGGGACCAAUACACUGUUUCUGUAUUACUGUGGGGAGAUGAAAACCAAAAGUGGUUGUUCUGAGGGGUUAGUCAAACUUCCCAGUCUUCCGAUA